UUGCCUGUUUUGACCUUUCCGAGCAGGAAGCACUUUUGUAAUCAUUGUUUAGUGUCACUUGUAAAGAAGGGAAGUGGGCAGUAAUUUCUUGAGCCAUAUGUUUAAAAAUAACAAAACAAAUUAAUUGAUUGCCCUGACUGUAAAUAAUUGGUAAACCAAAUUCGUUACCCAAUAUUUUUACUCUUUUCCACGCAAUAGUUGUUUCUUUUAUACAUUUUUUUACAUGCUAAUGGUGUGUUUCCACAUUGUACUCCAGUUGUACUUUGCUUCUGCUAUUGGCGAGCCACUCACAGGUAACAGGAAUACUUCCCCCGGGAAUACUUCUCAAAAAGGACAAUAAAUGUCAGCUGCCAUUUCAUAAUCGGUAAGGAAGGAAGUCCAACCAUCCAGCUUUCAGAAAGCCUGUUGUGUUUUCAAACAGUAUUCUUUGGUUUUAUCUGCUGGUAGAGGUGAGAGAUUACUGGCAAUAGCUACUGAAAUCAACACACCAAGAAGCAGAGCUGCAAAACUUGCCUGUCUCAGCAUUGCCUGACACCUGCGGAUGGUCACACAAGGAGAACCCAGAGAAAUCCAGCCACCAGGCCAAAAAAGAGCAAGUAAAUCUGUUCCUGAUGCUUUUAAAGAGAAAAAGACUUCGUGCAAGAGAAUGAACAAGCUAGAGAAGCGAAGGCUGUUUAAAAGCAGGAGGGCUGUGAGCACAGUAUAUCAGAGAUGUGAACACACUAUACCAGGGAGGAAAACUGAAGCAAUUCUCAACCUCCUAGAUUUCACAGCCUCUCAUCAAGAACUACAAAUGUAG
rnacentral:lncRNA from 1 species